AGAGUUUGAUCCUGGCUCAGGAUGAACGCUAGCUACAGGCUUAACACAUGCAAGUCGAGGGGCAGCAUUUUAGUUUGCUUGCAAACUAAAGAUGGCGACCGGCGCACGGGUGAGUAACACGCAUCCAACCUGCCGAUAACUCGGGGAUAGCCUUUCGAAAGAAAGAUUAAUAUCCGAUGGUAUAUUAAAACCGCAUGGUUUUACUAUUAAAGAAUUUCGGUUAUCGAUGGGGAUGCGUUCCAUUAGUUUGUUGGCGGGGUAACGGCCCACCAAGACUACGAUGGAUAGGGGUUCUGAGAGGAAGGUCCCCCACAUUGGAACUGAGACACGGUCCAAACUCCUACGGGAGGCAGCAGUGAGGAAUAUUGGUCAAUGGACGAGAGUCUGAACCAGCCAAGUAGCGUGAAGGAUGACUGCCCUAUGGGUUGUAAACUUCUUUUAUAUGGGAAUAAAGUAUUCCACGUGUGGGAUUUUGUAUGUACCAUAUGAAUAAGGAUCGGCUAACUCCGUGCCAGCAGCCGCGGUAAUACGGAGGAUCCGAGCGUUAUCCGGAUU
rnacentral:rRNA from 1 species